rnacentral:rRNA from 1 species
UACGUAGGGUGCGAGCGUUGUCCGGAAUUACUGGGCGUAAAGAGCUCGUAGGUGGUUUGUCGCGUUGUCCGUGAAAUUCCCUGGCUUAACUGGGGGGCGUGCGGGCGAUACGGGCAGACUAGAGUACUGCAGGGGAGACUGGAAUUCCUGGUGUAGCGGUGGAAUGCGCAGAUAUCAGGAGGAACACCGGUGGCGAAGGCGGGUCUCUGGGGCAGUAACUGACGCUGAGAAGCGAAA